CAAAGGCUUGGUCCUGACUUUAUUAUCAACUCUAGCGAGACUUACACAUGCAAGCAUCCGCGCUCCCGUGAGAAUGCCCUUUAGUUCCCCACCCGGAAACGAGGAGCUGGUAUCAGGCACAAAUUUUUAGCCCAUGACGCCUUGUUCAGCCACACCCCCAAGGGAAUUCAGCAGUGAUAAACAUUAAGCCAUAAGUGAAAACUUGACUUAGUCAAAGCUAAGAGGGCCGGUAAAUCUCGUGCCAGCCACCGCGGUUAUACGUGAGGCCCAAGUUGAUAAACAUCGGCGUAAAGGGUGGUUAGGAGAAAAAAAGAAACUAAAGCCAAACGCCUUCAGAGCUGUUAUACGCCCACGAAGAGCAGAGACACAACCACGAAAGUGGCUUUAUUUGAUCUGACCCCACGAAAGCUAGGGCACAAACUGGGAUUAGAUACCCCACUAUG
rnacentral:rRNA from 1 species